CUAUUCCAUUCUCAACAACUUCUGCUACUUCCUACUCCAACAACUUUCUUUUUUCCCGCUGUCAUGGGCAAGGUCAAGAUCGGAAUCAGCGGAUUUGGAAGAAUUGGUCGUUUGGUGGCUAGGGUGAUUCAACACAAUCCAACUUUUAAAUUUGAAGUAUUUGAAGUUUGCAUGCCAUGAGCCUAUAGGAAAGGGAAAAAAAAGGAACAUAAUUGUAAAGAACAAGAUGAUAUAUUUUUCUCUCUUUUUGUCUUUGAUCAUGUCAUGCUUAUAGUAUUUAGUCAUACAAAUUUAUAUUAAAAUUGAUUUUUAGAUUUGUAUUUGGAUAAAAAAAAUUGUUGAAUUUUGUAUUUGUA